AGAGAGGAGGAAGAAGAGUGGUUCAGAGGCAGGGUCAGCCAAGGGGUGGAAAUACCGAGCUGUUUUAUCCUUCCUCGACCCCCACAUCGCCCCACGGGAGACGUCAGGCAACAUGCUGUUGCCAAGGGUCGAGGAAGAGGAGGAAGCAGGGUAUGACCACCCAGAAGAGCCACAGGAAGAAGCAGGAGCAGGGAUGUCAGAACUUGCUGACAUAGGACCUGGGACAGAACCAUCCUCUUCUAACCCAGAGUCACCUGUGCCUGCUGCUGCUGCUUCUUCUGCCUCUUCUGCGCAGGCUGGCCCUUCAUCUGCUCCUACACCUUCAGGGCCACCUCGUAAGAGGCAAAGAAGAAGGCUCCAGGACCGCUCAGAGCCAUCAGCGUUUGAGCGGGAGUUGCUGGCAGAACUGAGGAAACCUUACUCAGAAGAUGAGC